GGGGGAAGAAAUGAUAGGGUUGUUUCGCAUUUUUGUUUACUCAAAUGUUGGGGAAUUUUGAAGAAAUAAAAUGUAGAUGGGAUUUCAGACCUCGGAAAAUCAAACCCAAAACCCUCUGUCAGAGUAAUUAAAACGCACCCAAACCCCUCUGCGCUAACGCCAGGUGUCAAGAAACGAGGAUCUGAAAUCAGUUAGUGGAAUGCAGGUGUCAGCAGGAGAGCGGACGCUCGUUUUACGUGGGAAGAAAAAUGAUUUUUCUGAAACCUUCUUCCCACCCUCUCUGCAUGCACCCUUAGCUUUCCAAAGAUCUGAUCUUUCAUUUUCUCCUUCUUCUCACUAGAAACCCUACCUUCUCUCUAAGAAAACUCACCCUUCUUCUCCGAUCAUCAUUCAGGCACCGCAGAAGCAUCACCGGCGUCCCAAGCUUCUAUUUAAACCGAACAAUUCUGGAUUCUGAAACUGUUUGAAGAGUUUGGUUGAGCGUUGUGGGUAGAAGAAAUCUUAUUUCUGCGAACUGAGUUUUAGUCUGAAGGACGUGCGUUCACUUUAAGAGAUGGAAGCGCGCUACUUGAAGAGACGCUGGAAGAAGAAGUUUUGGGGGACGCGAACUUAGUAGAUGUGGAAGUGAAGGCCGAACAGUAGUACGUUCGGUUGUAGUUAGAAUUUUGUAUGAAGUGACCAUUCGGUCACUUCCUUUUCCUUUUUGUUAUUUGACCGUUCGGUAAUUUAGCUUUUGUAAGCCGUUCGGUCAUGUUUUACCUUUUACCUUGUACAGCUUACUUUUGUUAAGCCAUGUAAGGCCGAUCAGCCAAAA